UGAGUGAAGGCCUGGUGACAUCAUCGGUUGAGACCCAGGGGAUGCCUGUGACUGGGACAUAGGGUGCUGUAUUCCAUAAGGAUAAAAUGACUGGGACACUAGAGAGUUGAUAUCUGGUUUAAUGUCUGGAGGAGAUCCCAUCUGUGCCAUUGAGCUGAUUCCCAUUGAUGGAGACAUUCCCAUCCCCAUAUUAGCAGUAGUUGACAUGUUGGAGUUGCUGCUUACCCCAUCCAGAGAAUCUAAAACAAGGAAAAAUGAAAAAUUGACUUUUUGGUAGUUCAAGAUUCCGAUCAAAUUUAGGAAUUUUAGAUUUCUUGAAAAUAUACUUAAAAAAUAUCUCAUAGUUGUAUCCAUGUACUUGAACAUGUUGAAGUAUAAUUUAUAUCCAAACUAUUAUUCAUUUUCACAGAAUCUAACUUUAUAUCUUAAAGCAUACUGAUAUAGUCAUGCAUGUGUAUCCUUGUUGAAUUAUCAAAAUAAACUGCUUCUCAAUCUC
rnacentral:sRNA from 1 species